AGAUAAAAUUAAUUGAGUUGCAUUCAAUAAAAGCUAAAGCUUUAUCUA
rnacentral:tRNA from 1 species